CCUACGGGUGGCAGCAGUCGAGAAUCAUUCACAAUGGGGGAAACCCUGAUGGUGCGACGCCGCGUGGGGGAAUGAAGGUCUUCGGAUUGUAAACCCUUGUCAUGUGGGAGCAAAUUAAAAAGAUAGUACCACAAGAGGAAGCGACGGCUAACUCUGUGCCAGCAGCCGCGGUAAUACAGAGGUCUCAAGCGUUGUUCGGAAUCACUGGGCGUAAGGCGUGGGUGGGCUUUUUCGUAGGUCGUGUUUGAAAGGCGCGGGCUCAACCCUCGGACGACACAUGAUACUGCGAGACUAGAGUACGUGAGGGGGAACCGGAAUUCUCGGUGUAGCAGUGAAAUGCGUAGAUAUCGGGAGGAACACUCGUGGCGAAGGCGGGUUCCUGGACAUUAACUGACGCUGAGGCACGAAGGCCAGGGGAGCGAAAGGGAUUAGAUACCCCGGUAGUC
rnacentral:rRNA from 1 species